rnacentral:rRNA from 1 species
CCGACGGGUCGGAGGUAAACAACGUAAUCAACCCUGCCGUCUACUCUUGUCAGCUCUGAGAGGAAGAUUAAUACAAGAUGGCAUCAUGAGUCCGCAUGUUCACAUGAUUAAAGGUAUUCCGGUAGACGAUGGGGAUGCGUUCCAUUAGAUAGUAGGCGGGGUAACGGCCCACCUAGUCUUCGAUGGAUAGGGGUUCUGAGAGGAAGGUCCCCCACAUUGGAACUGAGACACGGUCCAA